CCUUGACAUACUAAGAACUUUCCAGAGAUGGAUUGGUGCCUUCGGGAACUUAGAUACAGGUGCUGCAUGGCUGUCGUCAGCUCGUGUCGUGAGAUGUUGGGUUAAGUCCCGNAACGAGCGCAACCCUUUUCCUUAUUUGCCAGCGGGUCAUGCCGGGAACUUUAAGGAUACUGCCAGUGACAAACUGGAGGAAGGCGGGGACGACGUCAAGUCAUCAUGGCCCUUACGGCCAAGGCUACACACGUGCUACAAUGGUCGGUACAAAGGGUUGCUACCUCGCGAGAGGAUGCUAAUCUCAAAAAGCCGAUCGUAGUCCGGAUCGCAGUCUGCAACUCGACUGCGUGAAGUCGGAAUCGCUAGUAAUCGCGGAUCAGAAUGCCGCGGUGAAUACGUUCCCGGGCCUUGUACACACCGCCCGUCACACCAUGGGAGUUUGUUGCACCAGAAGUAGGUAGUCUAACCGCAAGGAGGACGCUUACCACGGUGUGGCCGAUGACUGGGGUGAAGUCGUAACAAGGUAGGCGUAGAUGA
rnacentral:rRNA from 1 species